rnacentral:rRNA from 1 species
GAUGAACGCUGGCGGCGGGCCUAACACAUGCAAGUCGAACGAGUGGCGGACGGGUGAGUAAUGUCUGGGAAACUGCCCGAUGGAGGGGGAUAACUACUGGAAACGGUAGCUAAUACCGCCUACCAUCGGAUGUGCCCAGCUGGGAUUAGCUAGUAGGUGGGGUAAAGGCUCACCUAGGCGAAGAUCCCUAGCUGGUCUGUUAGGAUGACCAGCCCUACUGGAACUGCGACACGGUCCAUACUCCUACGUGAGGCAGCAGUGGGGAAUAUUGCACAAUGGGCGCAAGCCGGAUGCAGCCAUUCCGCGUGUAUGAAGAAGGCCUUCGGGUUGUAAAGUACUUUCAGCGAGGAGGCGUUACUCGCAGAAGAAGCACCGGCUAACUCCGUGCCAGCAGCCGCGGUAAUUC